AUUCUGAAAAAAUAAAGACUUUUAAAAUGAUUUUGUCAGAUUUGGAAACUGUUGGUAUGGUUGGAACUUUGCAUAUAAAAUUAGUAAACUUGCCAAAUUGUUUAGUUUUUUCUUUUAUACUUUUCUGAAUUAGCCUUAAUUAUUUAUGAGAUGAAAAACAGCGCUUUCAAUUCCAUUGACUAGGCCAUCCCUUAAAGGCACUGGAAGCUUCACUAUAUGAAAAUCUUUUCUUUUUUUUUAGAUUGUGUGCAAUGGGAGUGAGUGAUGUAAUCUUCCAAUGCUCGUGGUGAAAAGAAAGCGAAACCGUUAUUGUUUUUCUGCCUAAAAUUUAAGCUAUUUAAUAAAUCUUGAUAAAGUUAAAAAACUGUUUUGAUUUGUUUAUUUUUGUUUUAAUUGUUUCCCGUGAGUUUUCGAAAUUCGUUCCAGCAGAUUCUGUGGAUUCUAGUGCCGGUAUUUUUACGUAAAAAAAUACUGUUUUGUUGUAACGUCAUUUACGAAAUCGUUAACGUUAGGACCAACUUCUGCGGGUUGUACAACUCGAUGUGUUACAUAUUUUUCGGAAUACUGCUAAAAGUGUAAUUUUGUAUUGCACUCCUUACUUUUAUCAUUCUGUGGGAAAAUGCGGUACAAAAUUUUAACACGCGUUAUUCGUUUUUGUUAGUUUCGCGUAAUCUAAUUUUCUCGCAUAUUUUGAAAAGAAUAUCUCACGUACAUAAAAUCCUCGCGCGGUCUAUUCGCAAAAAAUACUUUUUUUGCGCAACAAAUUGUUCUGCAGAGCGUUCAUUUUCCUACCUCGUCCCCAGGGUUCUUCUACGCUAUGAUAUUCAAUUUUGAUAUAUUUCGGAAUAUGUUAGCGUCAAAGAAACAAGAAGCGGUAGGGACAAAGUAUUGGAUAGUUUAACUUUGCUUGUAACUUGCAAAAUGCUUCACAACCUUUUUUUUAAUUUCUAGUUAUAUUUUUUUACAUUACAAAAAAAUAUUUCCCAAGCGUUAGUUUUUAGUUUAAUGACUCUUUGCUUUUGUUAAAAGUACCCAAUAAGGAAUUAAAUAUGACAUUAAAUCUUGUUCAUAUAGGAAUUCAUACCGGUCACUGAUAUCCCAUGACAUUUUAAGAAAAGAAAUUAAUUAAACAGAACGAUUUAAUUCCACGUCUUUUCGAGAUUAGCUACGCUGUGUGAGAGAGAAAUAGUUUCUAAAUUUUUCUUAAAAAAACCAAGAUUGGUUGGAUAGAAGUUUGAGUAACCGAUGAUUGACCGAAGAAACUUAGAAGCAAGAAUAGAAAAUAUGUCAAACUGAACGAAGAUAAAAAUAUAAAACAAAUGGAUAAUCAGUGACAUGGAAGGUCCGAUCAUAGUGUCAAUUCGAAUAUCUGCAAGUAUAAAAUGUUAUGACAAAGAUCUCUAGACUUAUGGGUGCAAGCAAAUAGAUUGCAGUCCAAUUCGGAAAUUAUUGCAAGCUUUACAUUACAACGGAGUUUUUAAAUUUAUGUGAAAAUCGAAAUUUAAUCAGUUUAAUAGCUUAUUAAACAGUAUUAAACAGCUUCCAAUGUCUGUUAAACUGUUUCAGAGCCUUUGUUGUGCGGCAAUAAACUGACUUGAUGCAGGUGUUCUGUGUUGUUGAGGGCAAAAUAAUAAAAGUCACUAUUGCUUCGCUUACAUUGCAUCUGUAAUGACGAUAUUUGAAUAGUUGUGUCGUGUUGGAUAAUGGUUUGGUCACGUUGUUACUAACAUGGUUCUACACAAGAUAACAAUCUAUCUGUCUGGAAAAAACUCAAACCAACUAAAUAUUACUAUAAAAUUAUGUAUUACUUGUGUUGUUCUACCAUGCUCUUCAAACUUACUCCGCAAAUAUAACGAGCUAUCUACGUUCAUUUGGUUAGGUUUAUUCGUUUGAGUCUUGUUUGAGCACUAACCACUAACCAAAUACUAUAAGCGAAUUUGUUCACAUUAUAUACAACUAGUAAUUUUUAACAUAUUAGGUAAUGUAUUUUAUAGAUAUGCUUAGUAUCAAGAAUAGCAUCCAUGAACUGGAAAAAUUACAAUCUGAUAACAGUUAGCUCGUUUGUCUGUCUUAAAUGAAAAUUGCGGUGAAUAUAAAACAUCGCUUAACGCGCGGACUGCAAUUUGCAAACAUGCAAUCCAAUAAUCGAUAAUCAAAGGGCUAUAAAUUAUGUAGCCAGUUAUGAAUUAUAUUGUAUUUUCUUCACAACUGUCGGUAAGUUUCGUGAGAAAUUCUAAGAAAAUAUCACUUAAAUUUUGACGUCAGGAAAGACCUGCCAGCACAUCGAGAUAUUUUUAGAUGUUUGUGUACCCGUUGCGUUGCGUAGACCGCUGAUCAAAGUAAUGUAUAGAAACGUGCUUUAAACGAACAGUUAAGACGAUACAAAGAUUAGAAGUUUUUCUCACGUCAGAAAAAGUUCGCCAAUGUAUACAAAUUAUUUGUCCAUCGCGUAGAACUGAAAAAGAAAAUGUAUAGGAUCGUAAUGGUCUUUAAACUUACUUUAAAUUAAUCUAUCGACGUGAAAUAAUGUUAUUGACGUUGUGAUGUUUAAUUUGUCAAUUGACAUUUAAUGUUUUACCUUAGGUUCCUGGGUGACCUUGUAUUCGAGCUGCACAUGCAGAAUGUUCACUGUCAAAAAUUAAAUUUUUGUAGCGCAACACAAGAAAAAAAUAGUCAAACCCCUUGCUGGCA